UACGAAGGGGGCUAGCGUUGCUCGGAAUUACUGGGCGUAAAGGGCGCGUAGGCGGAUAGUUUAGUCAGAGGUAAAAGCCCAGAGCUCAACCUUGGAACUGCCUUUGAUACUGGCUAUCUUGAGUUCGGGAGAGGUGAGUGGAAUGCCGAGUGUAGAGGUGAAAUUCGUAGAUAUUCGGCGGAACACCAGUGGCGAAGGCGACUCACUGGCCCGAUACUGACGCUGAGGCGCGAAAGCGUGGGGAGCAAACAGG
rnacentral:rRNA from 1 species